UACGAAGGGGGCUAGCGUUGCUCGGAAUCACUGGGCGUAAAGCGCACGUAGACGGAUCUUUAAGUCAGGGGUGAAGUCCUGGAGCUCAACUCCAGAACUGCCUUUGAUACUGGGGAUCUCGAGUCCGGGAGAGGUGAGUGGAACUCCGAGUGUAGAGGUGAAAUUCGUAGAUAUUCGGAAGAACACCAGUGGCGAAGGCGGCUCACUGGCCCGGUACUGACGCUGAGGUGCGAAAGCGUGGGGAGCAAACAGG
rnacentral:rRNA from 1 species